rnacentral:lncRNA from 1 species
CGCGCCCGCCCGAGUGGAGCUGAGCGGAGCCGAGCGGCGCGAGACGCGUGGCGGUGGCGCAGCCGAGUCAAGCUGGGGCCGCCGCUAUUUAGGGCGGGCAUGGUAGGCGCCGCCACAGCCAGAGCGGGCGCGGGACGGCGGGGACGGCAGGGAAAGCUUUGAGACACGGAAAACCGUGUUUCGGAGAUCCGUCAUGUUGGAUUGGUCCUAGUGUUAUCCCACGCCAUCCUGAUUUGUACUACGAGUGACCCAGCAGUCUGGCUUCUUCCUCACUCCUGCUUCAGGCAAAGCUGUAUGAUACUGUGUGUUACAAAGCUGUACAUGGAAAAAUUGUAUUUCUUCUGGAGUUCUGGACUGGAAAAGAAAGCAGGCAAAGAAAAAAUGGCUAAAGCUUAAAAGUGAAACUUGAUGCAUUUGGAUGGCCCUGAGAAACUAAUGGACCACUGCUCAGAGAUGAAGUCUCAUGGGAAUGGCAGCAUACCUUGAAACCAAGUUGAAUAAAGCAUCGACAGAUGAUCUGCAGAGCAGAGCACAGUGCAGUGCUGAACUGAGCGCAAUUAGUUUGGCUGGAACCUGUUUUCUCCUGUGUGGGAUGUCUGGUCGGCCCAGCAUUCAGAUCCCCUUAAUCAGCCAUAUUCUUCCUCUUUUGAGGGAAUCACCACAAGUCAUUACAAUCAUUCACCAUGUGUGCAUGAUCAGGAACAUCUCAGUACUUGGAACAUUCUUUGAGCUUCAGCGCCAAUGCAUUGAAUUCUGGUAACCAACAUGUGACUUCAGCAUUUGAAGACUGAAUGUGUGUUGAAAAGAAAAUCAGAAUGGUCUGGAGGAAUAAAUGAAAACAGACCCUUGCACUGUUUAGAAACAGGUCCCAAUUUACAAACCUAGCAGAAAUUAUGUUUACAGGAGGAAUCCAGACAGCGUUGUAUUAUAUCUUGAGUGCUCUACCAGUAGAGUCCUUUAUAAAUAUCAAAAGCCUGACAUUCAGAUAUUAAGAGUGGAAGAGAAAAUAUUCUUGAGGAUAGCUUUGUCCCCAACGCUAGGGCAUCAGUUACAUGCCAGACAUUUUUGUUUCAGCCUCCACUUUUCAAUAUUGAUUCAUGCAGCUUUGUAGAAGAAAAGUUCAGAGAGAAGGUGCAAAGUUCAUAAUGAAUGACUUUGCCUUCAUAUACAUAGAAAUUUCAAGAUGAAAAUGAAAAACGCUUGAAUUUCAACUUACAGUACUUCUUGUAGUAAACAGCAGAAUCAUGUUUGGAUGAUUAUGUUAACAUUUUGCUUUAACAAUAGCAUCACAUAAGAUGAGAUGGAAAAUCUGCCUUAAGAGAGUACCUUGUCUACUGUGCAAUCUGAUAUUUUCAACAAGUUAAUAUUUCUUCAGUGUUGGACGCGAGUAUGAAAAGUUCUAUUUCAGCAAAAAGGUGAGCAUUUUUCUUCAUUGUCCCAGAAAGAUUACAUUGGA